rnacentral:lncRNA from 1 species
AAAGUAGGCUCAGAAAGGAUACAUGUCUUCAUACAUGUAUCUCAGUUAUGCUUUCCGCUGUAAACACUGAUUAUUUCAGUUACGCCUUCCGUUGCAAACUCUGAUAAAGUUUUACUCAAGCCUCUAACGAUGCCUUUUUCCUUUUAAGGAAUAUAACGCGUAUACAAGUUCUUUGAGUACCCUUUUUAUGUGAACUAUGCCUUUUUCCUUUUUAAGGAAUAUUUCACGCAUAUUCAAACUCUUUGAGUAUUCUUUUAUGCACCCCUUUCUAAACCCGCUUCUUA